rnacentral:rRNA from 1 species
AAUGAACGUUGGCGGCGUGGAUUAGGCAUGCAAGUCGCGCGAUAAAUUGCCUUCGGGCGAUGGAAAGCGGCGAAAGGGAGAGUAACACGCGGGUACCUACCCUCAGGACCGGGAUAGCUGCGGGAAACUGCAAUUAAUACCGGAUGAUGUCUCCGGACCAAAGGUGUGAUUCCGCCGGAGGAGGGGCCCACGUCCUAUCAGCUAGUUGGCGAGGUAAUAGCUCACCAAGGCUACGACGGGUACGGGGUGUGAGAGCAUGCCCCCGCUCACUGGGACUGAGACACUGCCCAGACACCUACGGGUGGCUGCAGUCGAGAAUCUUCCGCAAUGGGCGAAAGCCUGACGGAGCGACGCCGCGUGCGGGAUGAAGGCCUUCGGGUUGUAAACCGCUGUCAGUGGGGAGGAAAUGCACGGGGGUUCUCCCUCGUGUUUGACCGAUCCGCAGAGGAAGCACAGGCUAAGUUCGUGCCAGCAGCCGCCGCCGUAA